rnacentral:rRNA from 1 species
UACGUAGGGUGCGAGCGUUGUCCGGAAUUAUUGGGCGUAAAGAGCUCGUAGGCGGUCUGUCGCGUCGGUCGUGAAAACUUGGGGCUUAACCCUGAGCUUGCGGUCGAUACGGGCAUGACUGGAGUUCGGCAGGGGAGACUGGAAUUCCUGGUGUAGCGGUGAAAUGCGCAGAUAUCAGGAGGAACACCGGUGGCGAAGGCGGCGACCUGGGUCGAGACUGACGCUGAUGCGCGAAAGCGUGGGGAGCAAACAGG